rnacentral:rRNA from 1 species
UACGUAGGUGGCAAGCGUUGUCCGGAUUUACUGGGCGUAAAGAGCGCGCAGGCGGUCGAGUAAGUCGAAUGUGAAAGCCCCCGGCUUAACUGGGGAGGGUCAUUCGAUACUGUUCGACUUGAAGGCAGGAGAGGGCAGCAGAAUUCCCGGUGUAGUGGUGAAAUGCGCAGAUAUCGGGAGGAACACCAGUGGCGAAGGCGGCUAUCUGGACGAACACUGACGCUGAAGUUCGAAAGCGUGGGGAGCAAACAGG